rnacentral:rRNA from 1 species
GAUGAACGCUGGCGGCGUGCCUAAUACAUGCAAGUCGAGCGAACGGACGAGAAGCUUGCUUCUCUGAUGUUAGCGACGGACGGGUGAGUAACACGUAGAUAACCUACCUAUAAGACUGGGAUAACUUCGGGAAACCGGAGCUAAUACCGGAUAAUAUUUUGAACCGCAUGGUUCAAGAGUGAAAGACGGUCUUGCUGUUACUUAUAGAUGGAUCCGCGCUGCAUUAGCUAGUUGGUAAGGUAACGGCUUACCAAGGCAACGAUGCAUAGCCGACCUGAGAGGGGGAUCGGCCACCCUGGAGCUGAGCCACGGUCCAGAGUCCUACGGGAGGCAGCAGUAGGGAAUCGUCGGCAAUGGUCGAAAGCCUUACGGAGCAACGCCGCGCGAGUGAUGAAGGUCUUCGGAUCGUAAAACUCUGUUAUUAGGGAAGAACAUAUGUGUAAGUAAAUGUGCACAUCUUGACGGUACCUAAUCAGAAAGCGACGGCUAACUACGUG